GAUAAACGCUGGCGGCGUGCCUAAUACAUGCAAGUCGAGCGAACGGACGAGAAGCUUGCUUCUCUGAUGUUAGCGGCGGACGGGUGAGUAACACGUGGAUAACCUACCUAUAAGACUGGGAUAACUUCGGGAAACCGGAGCUAAUACCGGAUAAUAUUUUGAACCGCAUGGUUCAAAAGUGAAAGACGGUCUUGCUGUCACUUAUAGAUGGAUCCGCGCUGCAUUAGCUAGUUGGUAAGGUAACGGCUUACCAAGGCAACGAUGCAUAGCCGACCUGAGAGGGUGAUCGGCCACACUGGAACUGAGACACGGUCCAGACUCCUACGGGAGGCAGCAGUAGGGAAUCUUCCGCAAUGGGCGAAAGCCUGACGGAGCAACGCCGCGUGAGUGAUGAAGGUCUUCGGAUCGUAAAACUCUGUUAUUAGGGAAGAACAUAUGUGUAAGUAACUGUGCACAUCUUGACGGUACCUAAUCAGAAAGCCACGGCUAACUACGUGCCAGCAGCCGCGGUAAUACGUAGGUGGCAAGCGUUAUCCGGAAUUAUUGGGCGUAAAGCGCGCGUAGCGGUUUUUUAAGUCUGAUGUGAAAGCCCACGGCUCAACCGUGGAGGGUCAUUGGAAACUGGAAAACUUGAGUGCAGAAGAGGAAAGUGGAAUUCCAUGUGUAGCGGUGAAAUGCGCAGAGAUAUGGAGGAACACCAGUGGCGAAGGCGACUUUCUGGUCUGUAACUGACGCUGAUGUGCGAAAGCGUGGGGAUCAAACAGGAUUAGAUACCCUGGUAGUCCACGCCGUAAACGAUGAGUGCUAAGUGUUAGGGGGUUUCCGCCCCUUAGUGCUGCAGCUAACGUAUUAAGCACUCCGCCUGGGGAGUACGACCGCAAGGUUGAAACUCAAAGGAAUUGACGGGGACCCGCACAAGCGGUGGAGCAUGUGGUUUAAUUCGAAGCAACGCGAAGAACCUUACCAAAUCUUGACAUCCUUUGACAACUCUAGAGAUAGAGCCUUCCCCUUCGGGGGACAAAGUGACAGGUGGUGCAUGGUUGUCGUCAGCUCGUGUCGUGAGAUGUUGGGUUAAGUCCCGCAACGAGCGCAACCCUUAAGCUUAGUUGCCAUCAUUAAGUUGGGCACUCUAAGUUGACUGCCGGUGGCAAACCGGAGGAAGGUGGGGAUGACGUCAAAUCAUCAUGCCCCUUAUGAUUUGGGCUACACACGUGCUACAAUGGACAAUACAAAGGGCAGCGAAACCGCGAGGUCAAGCAAAUCCCAUAAAGUUGUUCUCAGUUCGGAUUGUAGUCUGCAACUCGACUACAUGAAGCUGGAAUCGCUAGUAAUCGUAGAUCAGCGUGCUACGGUGAAUACGUUCCCGGGUCU
rnacentral:rRNA from 1 species